UCCCUCUUCUCUCCCGAGCCCUCACGACAGCGCCUCCCUUUCCUUCGUCGAGCUCAGCCGGCCUCUUCUCUGACCCGCGCACGAGCACCACGCGGGCGUCGGCCUCCUCUUCCCUCACGCGAGCCACACAGCCGACGCUCUCCUCUUCGCGUGAGCACCGCGACGCCGCCCCCUCUGCCCUUGCCGAACCUCUUCUCCCUCUCGCAACCUUCUGCUCCCAAAGCCAUCGCCGAUCUUCUUCUCCGACGAGCCAUAGCCACCGGGCCACAGCCUCUGGCUUCUUUCCCUCACGCGGGCACCACAGCUUGCGAUCUCACCCUCAGCCGAAGUCGCGGCCGCCGAUUCUCUCCAAGUCGUGCCCUAACCAAACCAGCAAGUAGAUUCCCUCCGUAACAGGUAGAUGAGUCAUGGAUGCUUGGAGAGUCCCAGCUGCCAGUCCCACGACACACUCGAGGAUAGUUUCUUUUUCUGGUUUUAGUUACUAACGCUAUUUAUGUUUUGGUUUUGUGAACUUGGUAUUGUAUGCUUCGAUAUGGAUUAUGGAGUCUAGUCUGGUGGUUGUAGGUAAUUCUGUUAGUGACUUUGUCGGUCAUACAUUUGUUUUCUUUUUGUGAUUUCCGCUGCGUUUACAUCCAGCCGUGUAGGCUGAGUAUUUAUCGUUCUGUCUUC